CACGGGGGUUGCAAGCGUUGUCCGGAAUUACUAGGCGUAAAGUGCAGGUAGGCGGAUAGAUAAGUUUAAGGUUAAAGGCUACGGCUUACCCGUAGUAAGGCGUUAGAUACUGUUUAUCUGGAAUGCGGUUGAGGGAGACAGAAUUCCUGGUGUAGCGGUGGAAUGCGCAGAGAUCAGGAGGAAUACCGAAGGCGAAGGCAGUCUUCUAAGCCGAUAUUGACGCUAAACUGCGAAGGUGUGGGGAUCAAAC
rnacentral:rRNA from 1 species